CAUGCAGCGAGCGUAGAGUUCUUCGUGAACUUGAGAGCGGCGCCGGGGGCGGAACACGUGUGCAACCUGCCUUUAUCUGGGGGAUAGCCUUUCGAAAGGAAGAUUAAUACCCCAUAAUAUACUGAAUGGCAUCAUUCGGUAUUGAAAACUCCGGUGGAUAGAGAUGGGCACGCGCAAGAUUAGAUAGNUGGUGAGGUAACGGCUCACCAAGUCUGCGAUCUUUAGGGGCCUGAGAGGUGAUCCCCCACACUGGUACUGAGACACGGACCAGACUCCUACGGAGGAGCAGUGAGGAUAUUGACAUGGUGAGAGCUGAUCAGCAUCCGCGUGAGACGACGGCCUAUGGUGUAACUUCUUUGUAUAGGAUAACUACUCUCGUGAGAGUAGCUGAGUACUAUACGAUAGCACGCUACUCGUGCAGCAGCGCGUAUACGAGGUGCAGCGUAUCGAUAUGGUAAGUCGUAGCGACUGUAGUCAGGUGAUCUCAAGCUACUGAACUGCAUGAACUGCAGUCUGGGGUUUGAUACCUGAAAGUGGGGAGGUA
rnacentral:rRNA from 1 species